AGUCUUAUCGACCGGAAGGGAUUCCUUCCGGUCGAUGAGGUAAAACACCCUCAUCGACGGAAGGGAUUCCUUCCGUCGAUGAGGUUGUUAUACCUCAUCGACCGGAAGGAAUCCCUUCCGGCCGAUGAGGGU
rnacentral:miRNA from 1 species